CUCUCUCUACAACAUCCGUGUUCAAUUUCUUGUGCUUACUUUCAUCGUUUAUAUCAUCAAUUCCAAUUGGUGGGUGGCCCUCUGUUAGACUGGCCAUUACUCCAAAUUUCUACCAAACCCCUAUCUCUUUCUGCCCGAUCAACCGUGGAUUGUACAAAGGGUACAAAAGAGUUGCUCCGUAAUUGGGUGAACUGAAUGCAGCGAGAAAAGAAACCAACAACAAUUACGACGUAAAAGUGCGAGGAUUUCGAGGUGGAGAUGAUUGAUUUGCUUGGGAAUUUGCAAUGUUGAUGUAUUGAUAUGGGUUUGAGUGCAAGUACUAGCAGUACUUUUUGGUGGUUUGCUGGGUGUGGUGGCGGAAUGGGGAGAGACGCGGUGGGCGAGCGUGAAGUUUACGGAGAUGGCACUGCUGAAGACGAACUACUGCUAUUGGAACGUACUACUCUACCAAAAGGUCUGUAUUUUGAUGAUCUUUUUCUGUCCGCUUUAUCUUGAAUUUAGACGUCACUGUGUCUAGAUUCAUACUAAAAAUUAAGUGACAAGAAUAG